rnacentral:rRNA from 1 species
AGAGAGAGACAUGCGCGCAUAUCAAUAAGCGGAGGAAAAGAAACUAACAAGGAUUCCCUUAGUAACGGCGAGUGAAGCGGGAAGAGCUCAAAUUUGAGAUCUUCAAGGUUCUACCUUGACGAAUUGUAGUUUAUAGAAGUGUUUUCUGUUAGUGGAGUGGCAAAAGUUCUUUGGAAUAGGACAUCAUAGAGGGUGAGAAUCCCGUAUUUGGUCAUUCCUCCUAGCGUUGUGAUACACUUUCAACGAGUCGGAUUGUUUGGGAAUGCAGUCCAAAAUGGGUGGUAAAUUUCAUCUAAAGCUAAAUAUUGGCGAGAGGCCGAUAGCGAACAAGUACCGUGAGGGAAAGAUGAAAAGAACUUUGAAAAGAGAGUUAAACAGUACGUGAAAUUGUCAAAAGGGAAGCGUUUGACACCAGUGUUGUUUUUCCGAAAAUCAAUUACGAAUGUUUUAGUUUUUGAGGAGUUAUGACUUCAUCGGCUUGCUCCUUUCUUUAUGAAACUUUCUUAAUGCACUUUUCGGUUAACAAGUCAACAUCAAUUUCUUUUGUUGUAAAAGGGUAUGAGGAAGGUGGCUUUCUUUUCGGAGAAAGUGUUUAUAGCCUUGUGCCUCUGCAAUCGGAGAGAUUGAGGUCUGCAGCGUAGAUCCUUCGGGGUUAGAUACGUUUGUGCUAAGUUAUAGCUUUUCAUAGACAACUUGUUGACUAUGUUUAGUCUUGUAGCUUACUCGCUUACUGCUAUUUUACCUACGCUUAGGAUGUUGAUAGUCACAGCGUGUAC